ACGAAUCGUAUCUAAGUAGAACAGCCCGGAGAGAGGACUCCUUGGGAGAAGGUCGUCGAGAGGGCUGAGAGUGUUGCUCUCUUUCUUACUUGUCCUCCGCCCUCCAGACUCCGGCCACCCUGAAGAAGAAAAGUAGUUGUGCUAUAAGUGGAGAAAGGAUGUCAUCGAUGAGGAAAACACAGAUGAGAAAUAGUGAUGCAUGUUCAAUGUGUUCUUUUUUUUUUUUUAAUUUAUUUUUCAUUCUUUUGUUUUUAGUCAUUCUUUUUGUAAGAAAAUCUGUUUCUUCAAACAUCAAAACACAAGCUACUUUACAAUUCCAAUGGCAAUCUUCUUGAUGCUUUUAUUCUUCUCAUCAAUUAUAAAUGGUAUAUAGUUUCUCUUCCUUUUUAUUUAUUUUUUUUAACUUUUGUAAUUUCAAGAGGAAAAACACUCCUUAGAAGAGGUACGUUUAUAUUAUAGUAAUGAUUGAGAAUGAAUUUUAAGCCUGUAUUCUACAUGACACGUAAAUAAUUCAUUUGCUAGAGCUGGUGAAUGACAUGAUGGGGGUUAGGAAGAUGUUGAAAUGCCUCUGUAAAUCUUUUUAACUCCCAAAUAGGGAGAUUGUCGUGGUGAAACUACCACCUGGUUAUGUAAGAAAAGAUCUCUGUUUAUUCUUUGAUUCUCAUAUUAUUAUUCAAUGCAAGUGCCAUAAACAUAAGCAGUCGUCAAGCAAGAAAAGAUGUGAAUCACAAAGUGAAUUAUCCAAUUUAAUCCUAAAAAAACCAAAUGGGGCCAUAUCACAUGUUUUAUUUUAUUUUAAACAACGAUAUUGGAGAUGAGAGUUGAGUUAGGCCACACGAUGAAUUAACAAUAAGUUGGUAUCAAACAUCCCAUUUAUGAGACUCAACCUAAAAUUCCCGCUUACAAAUACAUAAGAAUAUACUAGACCGUGGUGCUAGUGACGAGGCCAUAUCACUCUCUUGAAUCCUCACGUUUUAUGACAGAAAGCAAACCCAAUUUGAUUGUAGAUGCAAAAAGGACCUAAAAAUGGUUUGCAAGGAAAAUAAAAAACCAACCCCCCACAGAAAGUAAGCUCCUUCUUCAAGCGGUGAAGGCAUUUGUGCCGGUAUAAAUGGCAGAUUGGUUAUCCCCUAAUGACUCAGACGAUAAGAUAAGAUGAGCAGAAGUGACGUAUUAAAUCAGAUGGUCUUUGGUUUCUUUACCUUGAAAUUGCAUCACCUAAAUGUGCUGGUAUCGCAUCAGAAACAAAGAAGCCAGCACCGACGAGAUUGACAUCUUGUUGUAGCAGCAGCAGAAGAAGAAAGAAGCAUCAAAUCUGUUACUUUCUUGGAAAAAGAAGCUUUGACGUGUUUUCCUUAAUUUGAUCUAGGAAAACGAUUUUCGCAACCCCUGUUUUCUCCUUCCGCACUCCUCUUUGUUUCCGUGUCGCUU
rnacentral:lncRNA from 1 species